AUGUCUUAUCCCCCAACCAACACUACAGUUCUUUUAAAUUUAAUGCAAUUUCCCCCAUGUGUAUUCUUGAAAAAUCUUUUAAAACAGAAGGGCUGUGAUUUUCUUCCCCCAAGAACAGCAAAUAAAGCAGGAAAUGAGCAAAACAUCGAACUCUCAUCAGGCUUGGAGGUUGAAAAGGAAAAAGAAAAAUACCUCCAAGGCAUGAACUUGGUUGUGGCAACACCAAUAAUGAAAGAAAGCAGACUCUCGAAGAGAGACACCUGCGGCAGAGACAGCAUGAAGUACUCGCCUUUGAGAAGGUACUGUGAGGCUUCGCCAGAAGAUGGGGUUCUAACAGAUGGAACACCAGUCCUGCUGAAGGCGGCUGCCACUUCCACUAACUGCAGUUUGGAAUCUGCACUACAGCUCUCAUCCUAUGAUCUUUAG
rnacentral:lncRNA from 1 species